UCUCUAUAGUUUAAAAGAACAUGGAAUUUUCAAUUCCAAAGAAAAAGAGAA
rnacentral:tRNA from 1 species